UACGAAGGGGGCUAGCGUUGCUCGGAAUCACUGGUCGUAAAGGGUGCGUAGGCGGGUCUUUAAGUCAGGGGUGAAAUCCUGGAGCUCAACUCCAGAACUGCCUUUGAUACUGAAGAUCUUGAGUUCGGGAGAGGUGAGUGGAACUGCGAGUGUAGAGGUGAAAUUCGUAGAUAUUCGCAAGAACACCAGUGGCGAAGGCGGCUCACUGGCCCGAUACUGACGCUGAGGCACGAAAGCGUGGGGAGCAAACAGG
rnacentral:rRNA from 1 species